GCAGAAUUCAGUGAAUCAUCGAAUCUUUGAACGCAAAUGGCGCUCUUGGGUUCUCCCAGGAGCAUGUCUGUCUGAGUGUCUUUUUCGUUGAAUGACAUUCGCACGAUGUGGCCGUGUUAUGCACUGGCGUUUCGUGCGGCGUUGAGGUUCGCGGCCUUGCUAUUCUUAGGCCGCGUGCCUUUAAAUGGAGGAGGAAGAUGGGCUCAAGGUCCGGUGCAGUCGCAUGCGGAUUCAGUUGAUGUGCCGCAUGUGACUGCUGCAUCGGGAAUAUUGUCCUCGGCCCUCUACCUCGUGACCUUUAGCAGGACGUUCGUUCGUUCGUUCGUUCGUUCGUUCGUUCGUUCGUUCGUUCGUUCGUUGGUUGCUUGGCGCCAGACCUCAGAUCAGGCAAGGCUACCCGCUGAAUUUAAGCAUAUUAAUAAGCGGAGGAAAAGAAACUAACAAGGAUUCCCCCAGUAACGGCGAGUGAAGCGGGAAGAGCUCAAAUUUGAAAUCUCCGAUGCCUGCAUCGGCGAGUUGUAGUUGCGAGAAGCACUUUCUAGGCGGAAGGGCCCUGCCUAAGUUGCUUGGAACAGCACGUCGCAGAGGGUGACAACCCCGUCU
rnacentral:misc_RNA from 1 species